CCCUCCCACAAAAGCCAUUUCUGCCGCACAAAGUGGAGCUUUCCAGGCUGACUGGCCCCAUUUCUUCAAGAAGAUGGUGUGACUCAUAUUUAGUGCCUGCGGUUAUGUGGCUCGGAAAAUAGCAGCAUUCCUGCGCCACAAGGAUCUGGGAGAGCCUGUGUCGGCUUACAAGAACCUGAUGUGCCAAGCAGACCCCCCCAAAAUGGCAGCAUCGUCUCAAUCCGUCCCUUACUCUGCCAGACGGAAGUAUUCCCCUGCGGCUACUUCUGAAGUCAGAACCCAGAAGCCAAAUUCCUGAUGAAAUGCAAUAAAAAGGAUAGCAAAGCGGAAAAUGACGGUUUGUUUGACAAAAUCCUGUGGGUACAGGAAGCGAACAGACCCGAGAAUCCCUUAUUCUGUCCUCCUCUCGUUGUUCCACUAUGAACCCAAACGUAAAUAAAGAAGCAUUUCGUGCAUUUAGAAAUACAA